UAAAACACUCUGGAUUUUGAGACUGACAUUGUCUGCAGGAUGGCAAAAUGGUUCUGUUGCCACAGUGAUUUCUUGAGAGUCAAGUCCCCAACAAGUAAAUACCAGAGGCAGCAGUCCCCAACACCGGGGCUUUGGGUGUGGAUGGCCAUGGUCCAGCUUAGAGGAGAUGAAAGGCAGUAGAAAACUCCGUCAUCAGGCUCUAUGGAACCUGGGAGACACCAGACACGGAAGUCUUGAUAAGCCACAGUGGCUCAGAGUUUGAGAAGCAGAGAUCUACAGUUUGCCCUUUAGCACACAGGAGAGGUGAGAGUUAUAAACUCCAUCACUAAGCACUAGGCUCGGAGGACAUCACAGAAGACGGGCAGGAGGAGCCGGGUGAUGGAGAGGAGCAUUGCAACACUAACUGGACUCAAUGGCUUACAAAAGAGAAAAUGGACAUGAAGACCUAAAGGAGGAUAAUCCUGAGGCUGAAAUCUCACUUAUAAAGCAGCCCAAAGUGGAUCUGAGCACAGAGCUAACAGUGAAGAUUUGUCUUAGCAUUUGCACCCACAGGUAGCACCGAAGAUCCAGAAACAAAACGUCGGUGGUUCUAAGAUGCACAGGUUUAAUUGAUAUGGGAAGACCCAGGGGAUUCUGGUGCCUGUGCGUGGAAAGUGGAGACCUAAUAGAAGUGUGCAAGCAUUCAUUGUUCUCUUUUCCUGACUGUAGAUACAAAGUGAGCGGCAAGCUUCUGCUGCCUUGAUUUCCCCGCUAUGAUGGACUAUGCCUUGAACUACAAGCUAAAAUUGGCCCUUUCUCCCCUAAGUUGCUUUUGUCUGAGCACUUUAUUGAAGCAACAGAAGAGAAAUUAAGCCUGUCGCCUUGUCUGAUCUUCCUGUCCCUUCUGUAUUGGUCUUAAAGACUGGUGACUUUUCAGCAUCUCCCCUGUGACAUCAGAAACUUCAUCUUAUUUAUUCCAGAUUUCCAGUGCUGAAAAGCAAAUGCAUGGUACACAGCAGAUAUUCAAUACAUGCAUUUAGAUGUGUGUAUGCACAUACACAUGUAUAAAGUAGAAUACUGUAUUGAGAUAAUGUAUUGAUGUUGAAGGAAGAUGAAAUAUUGUAACUUGUUUAGGAGCCCACAGCCCCGAUCUGGGACUGAGAACAAAGCAGAACAAGGGAAAUGUACAGUUCUACAAGCAAGAGUGUAUGUGUGGAGAGAGUGUGGGAGGAUCCAUUCCUACAGUCAUCAAAAUGGGAUUGGUGCUCUGAACUUUGAGCAUGUAACACAAGUGCUUCUGUUUAUUUGGGGCAUACUGUCCAUGACUGAUUAGGGAGAAAUUUUCCUCAACAAGAGCUGUCAGUUCAGAACCAGCCAACAGCAAAAAUUCAGGUGGAGACUCAUUCUGGGACUCGGGGUGGGGAUUCAAACCACGGGAGUUUUCGGAGGACA
rnacentral:lncRNA from 1 species